AUAUCCAAAGGACUUCUUAAAGUCCAUAAAUAUUCCAUUAAAACACCCUUAAAGCAUGUUGUACAACCCUCUAAAGCACAAUAUAAUUUACACUUCCAAUUAUACCCUUCACUCAAAAAAAAAACACACGGGAGUAUACAAAUCAAUUUUAGGGUUUCUCAUUCUAAUAGCAUUUUAUCCGCCCCCAUCCCGAGCUGCUUUCUCUCUCCCAGGCGAUUUCCAGAUCUAGGGUUUCAAUGACAUCGAAUCGUUGAUUUUCUCUCUAUCCGACAGAAGACCCACUGGGGUUGACCUCUAGGGUUUCAAUGACACGGAAUCGAUGAUUUUCUCUCUAUUCGACACAAGAUCCACUGGGGUUGACCUCUAGGUACCGUUUUAAACCAUCUUCUCCGAGAUCGGCUGCUGCUUAUGUUAAUCCUCAUGGUCUUCUGUUCAGAUCUGGUUUUAAUACCGAGAACUAAAGGCUAGGGUUCAACUAACUGGCAGUUAACUUCUCCGAGAUCCGUUGCUGCUCGUGUUAACCCUCAUCUUCUUCUGUUCAGAUCUGGCUUUAAUACUGGUAAUCGUUUUACUGUAUAUAGUUUGAGCUAAUGAUUUUGUGUUUGAACUUUGAAUAUGUGAAUUUGAGUGUUAUUCAUGCGGAUUGUUGUUAAUUAAUGGUUAUGAGAGUUGUAACUGUACUACAAACUGUUUCGGAUAUGUUUUUCGUGGAUUUGGUGAGUGUUUUAAGUUAAUUUGUGUUUGAAUUUGUGAAAUUUGAGUGUUAUGUAAGUGGAUUUGUUGUUAAUUAACGGUAAAGCAAGUUGAAACUGUACUGAAAACGUUGAGUGUUAUGUAAGUGGAUUUGUUAAUUAACGGUUAUGCGAGUUGAAACUAUACUGAAAACCGUCGCUGCUGAUAUGUUUGUUGUGGAUUUGGUGAGUAUUUUUGGUUAAUUUGUGUUUGAAUUUUGUGAAUUUUGGCUGAGGUGGCUGAACAACAAGUGAGUAGCUUGUGUUUGGAGGCUCAGGAGUUCAUGAUUGCUGGUAGAUGGUUGGAUUUGGCUUUGUUGAUGAUUACUUCUGCUGAUUUGGUGUUUUCCAAAGCGUCAAAUAAAGGAUAAGCUGCAACAAGGGGUUUGGUUUCAAUGACACCGAAUCGAUGAUUUUCUCUCUAUUCAACACAAGAUCCACUGGGGUUUUUCUCUAUUCGACACAAAAUCCACUGGGGUUGACCUCUAGGUACCGUUAUAAACCACAUCGUGUUUGAAUUCUCCGAUCUCUGUGUUUGAGGCGGUUUCGAGGUAAUGUGGCCGAGAUACACGACGGAGAUCGUGAUUUCCGGUUGAAUUUUGUCGCUGUGUAAUCGUUUUUGUUCGUUCAUUUCGUUUUCGUGUGGUUUUGGUGAAGUGAGAGAAGACGGAGGCUUCCGGCGAGAAAGUUAGGAAUGAUAUGGUAUGAUUACGUCAUCAUUUUUUCGUUUAUGUAUUUUUGUUAUAUUGCAUUUUGUAGUCGUUGUUAUUGUUCAAUUUGUUGUGUAUGGAGGAAAAUUGCAGAAUAUAUGUGUUACUGUUCGUUCGUAUUCUAACAGUUAAUCGGAAUUUUUGAAA